rnacentral:piRNA from 1 species
UACAACUUUCAUUUUAUUUUA